rnacentral:rRNA from 1 species
AUUGAACGCUGGCGGAGUGCCUAAUACAUGCAAGUCGAGCGAAGCGGCGGAUGGGUGAGUAACGCGUGGGUAACCUGCCCUUAAGUCUGGGAUACCAUUUGGAAAAAGAUGCUAAUACCGGAUACUAAAGGCUGGAACUGCGAUACAUUAGCUAGUGGGUAAGGUAACGGCUUACAAAGGCGAGGAUGCAUAGCCGAGGUGAGAGACUGAUCGUCCACAUUGGGACUGAGACACGGCCCAAACGCCUACGGGAGGCAGCAGUAGGGAAUCUUCCACAAUGGACGAAAGUCUGAUGGAGCAACGCCGCGUGAGUGAAGAAGGUUUUCGGAUCGUAAAGCUCUGUUGUUGGUGAAGCGGUAAUCAACCAGAAAGUCACGGCUAACUACGUGCCAGCAGCCGCGGUAAUAC